GCCUAACACAUGCAAGUCGAGCGAAGCUAGCAAUAGCUUAGCGGCGAACGGGUGAGUAAUACAUAUUUAACGUACCCUGGAGAGUGGAAUAACCUUUGGAAACGAGGGCUAAUACCACAUAGGAUUUAGAAAGGCAUCUUUUUAAGUUUAAAGGCGGGUUAAACCGUCACUCCAAGAUCGGGAUAUGCCAUAUUAGCUAGUUGGUGAGGUAAAGGCUCACCAAGGCGAUGAUAUGUAGCCGUACUGAGAGGUAGAAC
rnacentral:rRNA from 1 species